AUGAACGCUAGCUACAGGCUUAACACAUGCAAGUCGAGGGGCAGCAUGGUCUUAGCUUGCUAAGGCCGAUGGCGACCGGCGCACGGGUGAGUAACACGUAUCCAACCUGCCGUCUACUCUUGGACAGCCUUCUGAAAGGAAGAUUAAUACAAGAUGGCAUCAUGAGUCCGCAUGUUCACAUGAUUAAAGGUAUUCCGGUAGACGAUGGGGAUGCGUUCCAUUAGAUAGUAGGCGGGGUAACGGCCCACCAAGUCUUCGAUGGAUAGGGGUUCUGAGAGGAAGGUCCCCCACAUUGGAACUGAGACACGGUCCAAACUCCUACGGGAGGCAGCAGUGAGGAAUAUUGGUCAAUGGGCGAGAGCCUGAACCAGCCAAGUAGCGUGAAGGAUGACUGCCCUAUGGGUUGUAAACUUCUUUUAUAAAGGAAUAAAGUCGGGUAUGGAUACCCGUUUGCAUGUACUUUAUGAAUAAGGAUCGGCUAACUCCGUGCCAGCAGCCGCGGUAAUACGGAGGAUCCGAGCGUUAUCCGGAUUUAUUGGGUUUAAAGGGAGCGUAGAUGGAUGUUUAAGUCAGUUGUGAAAGUUUGCGGCUCAACCGUAAAAUUGCAGUUGAUACUGGAUAUCUUGAGUGCAGUUGAGGCAGGCGGAAUUCGUGGUGUAGCGGUGAAAUGCUUAGAUAUCACGAAGAACUCCGAUUGCGAAGGCAGCCUGCUAAGCUGCAACUGACAUUGAGGCUCGAAAGUGUGGGUAUCAAACAGGAUUAGAUACCCUGGUAGUCCACACGGUAAACGAUGAAUACUCGCUGUUUGCGAUAUACUGCAAGCGGCCAAGCGAAAGCGUUAAGUAUUCCACCUGGGGAGUACGCCGGCAACGGUGAAACUCAAAGGAAUUGACGGGGGCCCGCACAAGCGGAGGAACAUGUGGUUUAAUUCGAUGAUACGCGAGGAACCUUACCCGGGCUUAAAUUGCAGAUGAAUUACGGUGAAAGCCGUAAGCCGCAAGGCAUCUGUGAAGGUGCUGCAUGGUUGUCGUCAGCUCGUGCCGUGAGGUGUCGGCUUAAGUGCCAUAACGAGCGCAACCCUUGUUGUCAGUUACUAACAGGUUCCGCUGAGGACUCUGACAAGACUGCCAUCGUAAGAUGUGAGGAAGGUGGGGAUGACGUCAAAUCAGCACGGCCCUUACGUCCGGGGCUACACACGUGUUACAAUGGGGGGUACAGAGGGCCGCUACCACGCGAGUGGAUGCCAAUCCCCAAAACCUCUCUCAGUUCGGACUGGAGUCUGCAACCCGACUCCACGAAGCUGGAUUCGCUAGUAAUCGCGCAUCAGCCACGGCGCGGUGAAUACGUUCCCGGGCCUUGUACACACCGCCCGUCAAGCCAUGGGAGCCGGGGGUACCUGAAGUGCGUAACCGCGAGGAGCGCCCUAGGGUAAAACUGGUGACUGGGGCU
rnacentral:rRNA from 1 species